rnacentral:rRNA from 1 species
UACAGAGGGUGCAAACGUUGCUCGGAAUUAUUGGGCGUAAAGCGCGUGUAGGUGGUUUGUUAAGUCGGUUGUGAAAUCCCAUGGCUCAACCAUGGAAGUGCUGCCGAAACUGGCGAACUAGAGUCCCGACGAGGAUGGCGGAAUUCCCGGUGUAGCGGUGAAAUGCGCAGAUAUCGGGAGGAACACCGGUGGCGAAGGCGGUUCUCUGGGCCUGACCUGACGCUGAGGAGCGAAAGCGUGGGGAGCGAACAGG